GCCCUUAAUCAGCUUUUCAGUUCAGUUUUAUUGGUUGCACGCACAGUCAGUUAUUUCAUCCAGAAAAUCUGAGGGCCCUACAAAGCUAACCAGACCAUAGAUGCUGGAUCCGGCCCCAUAAAGGAACAUUUCCGCGGGGGGAGGAAUUUAACCAGUUUGAGCAAACAUGGGUGAAUGGUUAGGGAAAAAUGAGAAUUCAUUCAAGGCUCAUCUUUCAGGCCUUAGAAUAUAAUUAUGUUAUUACCAAUGAAGAACUUCACAGAAGAAAUGUAGUAUAAAGAAGAAUUUGACUAGAAGAUGGCUGACGGGAUGAAGUAGGAAACUGUUCCAAGCAAAAGAGGUAGCAUGGAAGAAGCAUGAAGAAAAGACUGGAGAGGGGUAUAUGCAGAUAAUAUUCAAUGCCUAUAAUAAGUCUUGAUGAUUGUAUGUCAUAUUUUAAUAUUACUUUUAUUAUCCCUGAUUUAUUACAAUAAAAAGUGACUUUUUAAAAAAAUUAAAAAUAGGCAAAUGAGAAUGUGGAGACUUUUCCUAUUUUAAUGACACUGUUACACAAUGUCUUGAGUGGGGGGAGAGUUUCUUGUGAGUAUGUUUUUAGUGUAAGAAGAAGAGGCUGUAGUGUUGUUGGUUUUCUGAAGUAGCCUCCUUGGGCAGUUAUGGCAAGCAGCAAGGAUGUUUGUUCUCUGCCUGAAUCUCUAACUAGAGUUAAUCCUUGAAGCACAGUUGUUCCCUGGGAGCAGGGUGUUGGACUGAGGUUCUUGAAAGAGGGGAUUGCCUGCAUAUUGUUGUGACUGCCUGUGUUCUAGAACUGGUGUAUCUAUGUAAAUAAAACAAGUUGAACUAA